UAACAGGAAGAAGCUUGCUUCUUUGUUGACGAGUGGCGGACGGGUGAGUAAUGUCUGGGAAACUGCCUGAUGGAGGGGGAUAACUACUGGAAACGGUAGCUAAUACCGCAUAACGUCGCAAGACCAAAGAGGGGGACCUUCGGGCCUCUUGCCAUCGGAUGUGCCCAGAUGGGAUUAGCUUGUUGGUGGGGUAACGGCUCACCAAGGCGACGAUCCCUAGCUGGUCUGAGAGGAUGACCAGCCACACUGGAACUGAGACACGGUCCAGACUCCUACGGGAGGCAGCAGUGGGGAAUAUUGCACAAUGGGCGCAAGCCUGAUGCAGCCAUGCCGCGUGUAUGAAGAAGGCCUUCGGGUUGUAAAGUACUUUCAGCGGGGAGGAAGGGAGUAAAGUUAAUACCUUUGCUCAUUGACGUUACCCGCAGAAGAAGCACCGGCUAACUCCGUGCCAGCAGCCGCGGUAAUACGGAGGGUGCAAGCGUUAAUCGGAAUUACUGGGCGUAAAGCGCACGCAGGCGGUUUGUUAAGUCAGAUGUGAAAUCCCCGGGCUCAACCUGGGAACUGCAUCUGAUACUGGCAAGCUUGAGUCUCGUAGAGGGGGGUAGAAUUCCAGGUGUAGCGGUGAAAUGCGUAGAGAUCUGGAGGAAUACCGGUGGCGAAGGCGGCCCCCUGGAC
rnacentral:rRNA from 1 species